rnacentral:rRNA from 1 species
GACGAGCGCUGGCGGCGCGCUUAACACAUGUAAGUCGAGCGAUGAAACUUUAACAGAACCCUUCGGGGCGAAGAUAAAGUGGAUUAGCGGCGGACGGGUGAGUAACACGUGAGUAACCUGCCUUAGACAUUGGGAUAGCCUCGGGAAACCGGGAUUAAUACCAAAUAAAAUCAUAAUGACACAUGUCAUAACGAUCAAAACUCCGGUGGUCUAAGAUGGACUCGCGUCCCAUUAGCUAGUUGGUAGAGUAAAAGCCUACCAAGGCGACGAUGGGUAGCCGGCCUGAGAGGGUGAACGGCCACAUUGGAACUGAGAAACGGUCCAAACUCCUACGGGAGGCAGCAGUGGGGAAUAUUGCACAAUGGAGGGAACUCUGAUGCAGCGACGCCGCGUGAACGAAGAAGGCUUUCGAGUCGUAAAGUUCUUUUAUAUGGGAAGAUAAUGACGGUACCAUAAGAAAAAGCCCCGGCUAACUACGUG